CUCAAAUUUGAAAUCUGGCACCUUCGGUGUCCGAGUUGUAAUUUGAAGAAGGUAACUUUGGAGUCAGCUCUUGUCUAUGUUCCUUGGAACAGGACGUCACAGAGGGUGAGAAUCCCGUGCGAUGAGAUGUCUGAUUCUAUGUAAAGUGCUUUCGAAGAGUCGAGUUGUUUGGGAAUGCAGCUCUAAGUGGGUGGUAAAUUCCAUCUAAAGCUAAAUAUUGGCGAGAGACCGAUAGCGAACAAGUACAGUGAUGGAAAGAUGAAAAGAACUUUGAAAAGAGAGUGAAAAAGUACGUGAAAUUGUUGAAAGGGAAGGGUUUGAGAUCAGACUUGGUAUUUUGUAUGUCUUGCUUUCGGGUGGGGCCUCUACAGUUUACUGGGCCAGCAUCGGUUUGGACGGUAGGAUAAUGACAUUGGAAUGUGGCACCACUUCGGUGGUGUGUUAUAGACUUUGUUGAUACUGCCUGUCUAGACCGAGGACUGCGUCUUUGACUAGGAUGCUGGCAUAAUGAUCUUAAA
rnacentral:rRNA from 1 species